AAUUUAAUAUAUAUUUAACGUGCAAAAUGUGUAUAAUAGUGAGACAUUGCUAAAAAAUAAAAGUGCAUUGUAAAAAUUGUAAUGCUAAAGCCGCCAUUUAAGAAUUUUUUAGCAUGCAAUCCAAAUUCUACUAAAAACGUGAAAAAGAGGAGUGGUGGUGGCCCUCAGUAACAAAAAGUGCAGCCGGCUAAUUAUAUUUGUAACAAACGUUAACUACUGCUCCUGGCGAGACUUAAAGACGACGUUGAAACGGCUCAAAGCAAGCGCUUUACAUUAAAUAAGUUGAAGACUUUCUAAACGGCAGACAGCAAAACAAACUACAGCGUGAACUAGAAGAAGGAAGAGAAAAGAGGAAAAGCUAUACGCAACGAGGGCAGUCGACAGCAGCAGCAACAA